CCAGCCUACUAGUAUCCAUGGGGAUCCAUAGGGGUCCUGCUACCCGUGAACCCUUAACACUUGUAAUCAGAUUCCAGGGCCGUCCCCAUACCCCGUUCGGUAUGGGCGCCAAAACUAUAAACCUCAAUAUCCCGUCCGGUAUAAGGGUGAAACAGGCCGUCCCCAUACCCCGUCUGGUAUGGGCGCCAAAACACAUAAGAUCUUCAUACCCCGUCCGGUAUGAG
rnacentral:lncRNA from 1 species